rnacentral:rRNA from 1 species
UACGUAGGGGGCGAGCGUUGUCCGGAGUUACUGGGCGUAAAGGGCAUGCAGGCGGUCGGACGCGUUUUGUGUGACAGCGGAUGGCUUACCUAUCCGAGCAUACGAAAGACGGUUGGACUUGAGGACUCGAGAGGGACACGGAAUUCCGGGUGGAGUGGUGAAAUGCGUAGAGAUCCGGAGGAACACCGAAGGCGAAGGCAGUGUCCUGGCGCGUAACUGACGCUGAGGUGCGAAAAGCCAGGGGAGCGAACGGG